GACACACACAGAGACAUAUCCAGGGUACAAGAGUAUCCCUAUAUUAUGAAGGGGUGAAAAGAGGCCCUUGCCAGCUCUCCCCAGAAGAAUAUCAAGGGAAGGAGGAAGUGAAGAGAGUGGAAACUCCCCAAGCAAGAUGAAAAAGACAGAGAGAGAGAGAGGCAGGAACUUUGGACAGAAGAGAAGAAGGGGACAGAGCAGCCGAAGUCAGAAGAGAUGUGCUGGGAGAGAAGGCUCCAUUUUGCAGAGCCCAAGCCAUGUACUGCAACAGACAAUUCUGGACCCAGCUCAAAGAAUGCUUUGGAAUGGUUUCUUUCAAGAGGUCCAAAAUCCCCCAGGAUCGUCUCCCGUAGAGGAGCUCGAAUGGGGAGAACCCGG